UCACGCACAAAAAGAGAAACCGGCCGCUGCGUCUCGGGCUUGCCAUCGCAAUCGAAUCAGAUCCUCAACGGCCGCUAUCCCAAUCGGAUCACCUCACCCUCAACCGACCGCUGCGCCUCUGGCUUGUCAUCGCAAGACCUCCCAUUGGUGUGAUCCUCCUUCCCCUCCUCACUUGAUUUCAUCCUUGCCAUCGAGUGGUCUUCAAGGGGAUACCGGUGACUCCUCCGAUGGUGGUUGUGGGGUCGUCCGGAGAGGCGGGGAGCAGCGGCGCAUUGGCGGACCGACCGGAAGUUGCCUCAUGCUAGGGUUCCUCCCCACACCCCCGCUGCGCUUCAUCUCCCUCUUGCUGCACCCCUCCCAUCUAUGGUGUCUCUCCCAGUGAGGCAUAGCGACGGGCGUUGGCUGUUCUGGUGCGUGCGCAGCACAUGACGGGCCGAGGGGCGUGGGGUCGAUGGUCGGAGGUCAAAGGCGAGCGGGGGCGGCGGCCGGGAUUCGCGUGUGGUAUUCACCGGCUGUCUGCUGGCUGUGUGCAUGGUGCACAAGUGGUAGUAGCAGCAGCCACGGGCUUUUCUCUGAAUUUGCAUCAAUAACAACAAUAGCAGGGUCAUGGACAAGAUCAUCAAAUCCCUCUGAAUUCUUGCCGGUUCAGGUUCUUUCCAUGCACCGGCUAAUCGAGGUGGUGAAGCACAUGUUAGCCGUGUGGAUGGACCUCGGCAACCCCAGCUUCGUCAAUGUCGCCGGUAACGCGUCCGAGAUGAUGUCGCCGAAGUAGCCGGAGUUCUUGACUUACUAUCUUGUCUUCUGAACUACAAUCUCUGAAUUUAUUUAAGGUUACUUCUCAUAUCUCUGUUCUAAAGUAAAUGCAACAUGUGUCUUGCUUGUUAUGUGGAUGUGCAACAGAUUUGUGCUACAAAGAAGGGUUCAUGUGCAAGGAAGCAUAGAAGAUAUGAGGCAAAAAAAAGAAAAUGAUCAAGGGUAGAAUCAUGCUUGGGAAAUCCAUACAAAAAUCUGAAGUAUGGGUGUUUAAAAAUCUUCCCUUUGCGACUGUUUGUAAAUAUGAAGUAUCAAGACUGUUCUAUUCAUAUAUGAUUUUUUAGUAUGAGGCACAAAACACGCUUACUGAUAUAUAGUUUUGAAAUCAUGCUUGGGAUUUUCUCCCUCCCAUGUUAUAUCCAAUAUUUGCUGUGAAACCUGAACCUGAAUAUCCCGAACCAUUUUCAUUUGUAUUUGUUAGUAGGAUAAAUAACUGCUACAAAGUCAUCAAGCCAUCAUCAUUCACGGGUUUAAUUUGCAGGUGCUCUAAAAGAAUAGAGGUGCGGUUCUGAAAUAAUAGAUGUUGAUCCAAACCUUGCUUGAGUGCAGGUCCAUGAGUCCAGCCUACAGACAACUCAUACAACAAAACAGAGUGAACAACUUAAUCUCUUGUAUGCCUAACUAUGCGGAUAUAGGUAACGCAGCAUUCGUUUGUUUUCUAUAACUUUACUGCGCAUAUGUGAAUUAGUAUAUCUUCAGUUUGUUCCACACCCCUCUGUUUUAUAUAAUCCCGUGACAUUUUAUAUUUGUACAACUUGCAUGGAAGGAAGUAAAGCAAAUUUGGGAUUCACCAUGACGAUGUGCAUUCUAGGAUUCACCAUGACGUUGUGCAUUAUAAAAAACAAUAAACAAAUUCCUAUCACUUAAGAAGUUAAGAUACAUCUAGAGAUCUACUGCUAGCGGAACAAUGGAAUGGAGUGUACAAAGUCUUUCGUACCAAUUAUUCAUGCUGAUGGAAUAUUCACCCUUCAUGCUUUGCUGAACUAUGGAGUGGAAUGUACAAAGUCAGCAACCUCAUGACGAGAAGGGAUAACCUUGGUUGGUGAAGAUGACAUACUUAGUCCACUCCUUGCUCUGCUUAGUAAUGAUGUACGGAACAGCAAAAUACUAAUUCUUUUAUUUUAUGUGCACGCAACAUUUUGGAUGCAGAUGCAGACCAACAUCUUUGGCUCCACUAUUAUUGAUGAAAACUGGAGGUGGUGAGUGUCGUCGAAAUUUUAUCCACUAUCAUUUUCUUCACAAUUUUAGUAGAGUGACUAUUCAGGCAAGAUUAGAAAAUAGAGAAAUUGGUUCCAUAACCUUUGGAUUUUGGAGGCUUGUCAUGCACUUCAAGUUUGACACGUUGAUAAGCUGUCCUGUAUAUCAACAAAGUUAUUGAGCCAGUGCUUGCACACAUAUAUUUGGUUUUAUUGUAAGAGCACUCUUCAUAAGUUUUAUUUUCAAGGCCGAGAAGGUGUUGCUGUUCAUGACAUGUGCUGUUACAGUGGGACUACUACUGUUGUUUAUCUUGUAAUUAUAACUCGAUUUGAUAGUGCAGACUGGUUGAAUUAUCAAUGUACAUUUGGGCAUAGAGCAUGAGGAUGUAUGAAACUUCUGAACACUUUCAGGUUAUCUAUAAAUUGGUAGUCCUGGCCACUUUUCAAAAGCACAUUGCGUAACUAAAUUGUUGAAAGUGCAGUUCUACAUUAAGUACCUACUGAAAUUUUCAGGUUGCUGGACAAACUACAGUUACAAAUAGUAUUCCUCAUUUGACUCUUGUGGGGGAGAGAGAUAAAAUAAAUCUGCCAUCAGUAGGCGAGUUCCAACACUGGAUGGCAAGGCAAUGCUCUGUUUGGAAAUAGUUAUUCGCUUGAAGGAGGUAGAAGGCAGUGCAACAGCUGCAGUUUUGACCUCACUUGUGCUAGACAUUUUUUUCUUGAAGAUUUGUGCUAGCCAAUUUGGGUAUGGGUGAUGCUCACGGAAGCCAUUCUAUGUAGCUCACGGAUUGUCUUGCCUAUAUAAUUCUUGAUGUAGCUGAUGAUUGAA